rnacentral:tRNA from 1 species
CGGAGUAUAGCGCAGUCUGGUAGCGCACCUGCUUUGGGUGUAGGUUGUCGUGGGUUCAAAUCCCUCUACUCCGA